UAAUACGUAGGGUGCGAGCGUUAAUCGGAAUUACUGGGCGUAAAGCGUGCGCAGGCGGUUUUGUAAGCCAGACGUGAAAUCCCCGGGCUUAACCUGGGAAUGGCGUUUGGGACUGCAAGGCUUGAGUAUGGCAGAGGGGACUAGAAUUCCUGGUGUAGCAGUGAAAUGCGUAGAUAUCAGGAGGAAUACCGAUGGCGAAGGCAGGUCCCUGGGUUAAUACUGACGCUCAUGCACGAAAGCGUGGGGAGCAAACAGGAUUAGAUACCCUGGUAGUCCACGCCCUAAACUAUGUCAACUGGUUGUUGGGGGUUUGACACUCUCAGUAACGAAGCUAACGCGUGAAGUUGACCGCCUGGGGAGUACGGCCGCAAGGUUAAAACUUAAAUGAAUUGACGG
rnacentral:rRNA from 1 species